rnacentral:rRNA from 1 species
UGGGGAAUAUUGGACAAUGGGGGAAACCCUGAUCCAGCAAUGUCGCGUGUGCGAUGAAGGCCUGCGGGUUGUAAAGCACUUUCAGUAGGGAAGAAACAUGUGAAUAUAAUACAUUCAUAUGCUGACGUUACCUAAAGAAGAAGUACCGGCAAACUCUGUGCCAGCAGCCGCGGUAAUACAGAGGGUACAAGCGUUAAUCGGAGUUAUUGGGCGUAAAGGGCGCGUAGGCUGAUUUUUAAGUCGAUUGUGAAAGCCCUAGGCUUAACCUAGGAAUGGCAGUCGAUACUAAAUUUCUUGAGUAUGGUAGAGGAAAGUGGAAUUUUCGGUGUAGUGGUUAAAUACGUAGAUAUCGAAAAGAACACCGGUGGCGAAGGCGGCUUUCUGGGCCAAUACUGACGCU